UACGAAGGGUGCAAGCGUUAACCGGAAUUACUGGGCGUAAAGGGCGCGUAGGUGGGUUGAUAAGUUGGUUGUGAAAGCCCGGGGCUCAACCUGGGAACUGCAUCCAAAACUGGCAAGCUAGAGUAUGGCAGAGGGUGGUGGAAUUUCCUGUGUAGCGGUGAAAUGCGUAGAUAUAGGAAGGAACACCAGUGGCGAAGGCGACCACCUGGGCUAAUACUGACACUGAGGUGCGAAAGCGUGGGGUGCAAACAGG
rnacentral:misc_RNA from 1 species